rnacentral:rRNA from 1 species
UACGGGGGGAGCAAGCGUUGUUCGGAUUUACUGGGCGUAAAGGGCGCGUAGGCGGUCAGCACAAGUCAGUUGUGAAAUCUCCGGGCUUAACUCGGAACGGUCAACUGAUACUGUGCGACUAGAGUGCAGAAGGGGCAACUGGAAUUCUCGGUGUAGCGGUGAAAUGCGUAGAUAUCGAGAGGAACACCUGCGGCGAAGGCGGGUUGCUGGGCUGACACUGACGCUGAGGCGCGAAAGCCAGGGGAGCGAACGGGAUUAGAAACCCCCGUAGUCC